AUUCUGCCCAUGCGGGGAAGGAUGAGAAGCCUCGACCAAGGUUCGACUCGAGCGCCAGCGAGAGAGCGUUGCCGCAGGCAACGACCCGAAGGGCGAAGCGCGCAGCGUUGAGUAAUUCUUCCCCCACCACCA
rnacentral:sRNA from 1 species